rnacentral:lncRNA from 1 species
UAUUGUAUUAUCUGCAUUUACUCGCUUAUUUAUUGCUAUCUACUCAUGCCACAGUUGACCUAGUGGUGUACUUCGCCACUCUCGGCGGCUUACCCACUGGGAACUAUUGUUUAAUAGUUCUCACGCCCUCUUUGUUGUUGUUUUCACAGAGCCUUCCACCGCGGGAAAGGCUAGGGUUCUUGGCGAGGGGUCUGCGACUAGCUAGAGCCUUUUUGGACGUGUACUAGACGAUCUCCACCAGUUUAUGUAGUUUAGUACAGAGAUGUAUAUUACAUUGUUGUAAAUUGUACUAUAUUCUUAUUUACUGUAUUAAGGUUUUGGAUUGUAUAAGUUUAAACUUUUAAGUCGUGCUCUGAUUACCUGGUUAGAAUUAUAUGCUUUUACUAUAUGGUUUGUAGACGCCUUGUGUAUACUUGAGUUGUGGUGUACACGGCGGGUCUGUGCACGCGACCGGAUAUGCUUCCGCUGGUACCCGGGCGUGACAGAUCGGAUACUCAGAUGCAGACUGGGCUGGUUCUGCAGAUGAUCGGAAAAGUACUAGUGGAGAUUGUUUCUAUCUUGGACAUUGUCUCGUUGCAUGGCACAGCAAGAAACAGAACUGUAUUGCACUAUCUACUGCCGAGGCUGAGUAUAUUUCUGCUGGUAGUUGCUCCACUCAGUUGUUGUAGAUGAAGAGCUUACUGAGCGACUAUCGGAUCCCUUCCACCACUCUUACUAUUCUUUGUGACAACACAAGUGCAAUCAAUAUUUUUAAAAACCCUGUUUUACAUUCUAGAACAAAACAUAUUGAACUCAGAUAUCACUUUUUAAGAGAAUUGGUCGAAUCAAAUGUUCUUCAUCUUGAAUACAUUUCUACUAAAAAUCAGCUUGCUGACAUUUUGACAAAGCCUUUAGAUCAAAAACGUUUUCUACAUUUGCGAAAGGCUAUUGGUAUGAAUCCUUCAGUCUAGAUGUAGUCUAUGGGCCAUAGAUCUUGCACAAACUUUUUGCAUAUCUCAUGUUUUGCAUGAUCAUUUUUGAGAUAUCCAUGACAUGAUAUUUAUUGUUUUAUAAUAUGUUUAGCUUGGUCAAUGUCAAUUUUAUUCUCUGUUGUCAUUUUUUUUUUGAGAAGAUUGAUUCAUUCAAAUUCUGUUUUAGUAUAACUUGCAAAAUUCAACAUCUCAUUCUUUGAACUUUAAACAUUGUUUUUGUCUUGUUUGAUUAUGAGCUAUGAAAUGAAUAACAAUUUCCCUAUCUUCGAAAUUUUGAUACUAUUUUCAGCUUGGGGUUGCACUAAUUUAGGGGGAGUCUUUCCGGUGAUUAAUAUUAAAAAAAAAAAAGAUGUGGAAAGAGUUACAUCCCUUGUGGGAGUGUGAAAACUACCACCACAUGGAGGAAAGAGCUACCACCCCGGUCGUACGGUCAGUGUGUGCAGCUACCACAUGUUUGUUUAAAGUAUCUCUAUUGUUUAAUAAGGCUAAAUAUCUGAGGCUGUCUGGCAAUAUAUAUAUAUAUAAAAAUAAAUAAAUAAAUAAAUAAAUAAAAAAUUUUUAAAUGAGGUGCUUUGGAGAUGAUAAUAGUUGAUAUAAGGUGGAUUGUGAAAAGAUGCUCAAAGAGCCACUCCCUCGUCGAAUAGCGUGCAUAACUCAAUUUGAUCAUACUAUCUUAAUUUCCUGGCUAUGGGAUCUUCUUAUUCCUCUUUUUGGCAACUUUGACGACAAUACAAUGCAAUUAACUUUUAGAUCAUGACUGAUAUGUGGAUUUUCGAAGUAUACACAUCCAGAAUUUAAAGCAUCUCUCGGUUCAACAAAUCUUGACACUUUGAGUAUUUUUGAAAUUGACUUUGUUUCUCAUAUUUAUAAAAUUUAUAUUAAAUGUCAUUGGGAACUCAUCGUGAUUAAUUUUUGAUGCUGAGUUAAGUUAGAUUUUUCAUAGAAAUUUUUUUAAAAAAAAGGGGGGGGUCAUUUUUUUUUGGUACGGGGACCGGUCUCCCGUGUUGAAGGACCGGUCCCUCCGCCCAAUCGUUUAUAACCUUUCGGUCAGGUCUCUCUCUCUUACUUUACCAUUUUUCUCUGAGACUUCUCCCACGACUUGCCUAGGUCUCCAGAGGGAUUUUGCUUUGCUCCUUACUGGUUUUCUUUGCUUUGUUGGUAAGUUUUCGAUUUAGGGCUUAUUUUUACAUACCUAUUCCGAGAAUAUGUUUUGGUUAGGAUUUGAUCUGAAAUUUUUGUUGGGUCUCUUGUUUAUUGACGUUGAUCUUUGUUAUAUUCUUGUGAUCCUCGAUUCCUUCAUGCUUUACUUCAUUCUCUUGAUGCAUUUCUUUGGAUUUUCCAUGUGGCCCUAGAUUUCUCUAGUUUUUCCUGUUUUUUUUUUAAAAAAAGACUGAAUGAUAUUUGUGUUUUUCUUUUAACGUGUUGAAACAGGGAUCUCUUUCGAAAACAAAAAUGUAUUCACUUUUGCUUGUGAUUGUGUUCCUCAUGGCUGGUGGUGGUCGUGGUGGUAAGCGACAUCGUUCUUCAACUCAACAACCUGUAGAGCCACCGGUUGAGGAUAUCGACAGUGAAUAUGCUCCUGAUGAUGAAUCGGAAACUGAGUUGACAGAUUGGGAGGCACUUUCUCCGGAAGUAUUGUCGAAGAAGAAAGGGAAAGAACAAGUUGUUUCGGGAAAAGAAAAAGGAAAGGGCAGUGCAAAAGGAAAAGGAAAAGAGAAGUUGACGUAUUCUCGUAGUAAGAAGAAGAGUGGGGGUAUUGAAAUUCGUGAACCUACCACUGAUUUACCUCGCCGCAGUGUUCAAGGAGGCAACGUUGAUCCGAAGAGACACUCUAUGUACUCUUCGAAGAAUUGUAUUGGUGAGCGCCACGUUGGAGUUCAGAACUUAAUGGAGCGAGUUCCUGGUCUUCAAGCUCUGUUUGAGAACGGGGUCUCUACGAAAUUAGCGACUUUCCCGAACAAACUAGAUAUUGUUUGGAAUUAAUUCGGGAGUUCUAUAUGAGAGCGGGUUAUCUAGAGGAUUCCGAUAGUGGACCAUACAUCUUUAAGACCUCUGUGCGUGGCAUUGAAUUGACGAUUACUCCUGAAACGAUUGCUUCUGUUCUUGGUAUGCAGGCUCGGACUGAUGGAAUUGAAUAUUUGCAUGCUGGUUUUGAUGCGGUUCAAGAUUGGCGUCGGGUUAUGAAUGGAGUAUGUUUGCCCAACAUUGAACCCAAUGGCAUUUGUGUGAUGUCAAAGGAGUUGAAGAUCGAGUAUCGUUUUCUGAAUUUUGUUGUCUGCUACAAUAUUAUGCCGUUGGCUAACACCAAGGUUGUGCGUUGGGAUCGUAUGUUAUAUAUGUAUUUGGUGGGUCAGCUGACGGUGGUUCGUGAUAGGAAAAUUAAUCUUAAUGUUCCAUUUUUGGUAUGGCGACGCAUGGCUAAAGACAUCAAGACUUCAAGUCAGUCAGAAAGGUUGCUUUAUCCAUUAAUCAUCAUGAGGAUUCUGCGGAUAUUUGGUGUUGACACGAGAUGUUCGUCUUAUGAACAUAGUUUGGGCGUGAUUAGUGAAACUACAUUCAUCAAGUCUUCGGUGCAGCUUCGUCCUCAGUCACAGCGCUCUCCUCCGUGACAUUCGUCUCAACAGCAUUCCACUCCACCUCCUAGUUCUUCUCGUCCUUCUGCCGAGGUGUCUGAAGAAGAAAUGUCGGUUUCCUCUGUUUUUCGAGAACAACAGCGGCUAUCUCUAGAGCAAGAAUGAAUCUCGGGCGAACUUCGCAGGAUUUCUGACGAUCAGGCUCGUAUGGUUGCAUAACAGGAACGCCUUACUCGGCACGUGAGCAAGCUUCGUCGAAUGAGGAAAGCAAUUUUUGACAAACUGGGUUGUUGUAGUGCGGAUAUUCCUGAGCCAAGUGCUGUCGAUCGUUUUGGCGUUUUCUUGACAAAAAGGAGGAGAUGAUGAUGAUGCUGAUUUGCUUUUGCUUGAACUUUGCACUUUGCACUUUGCUUUUUACUUGUAUUCUGCUUGAACUUUGCUUUUGCUUGAACUUUGCACUUUGUUUUUUUUUACUUGCUUGAACUUUGUAACUAACUCUGAAACUCUUGACUUGUAACUGAAUUCAUUGCAAAUCUUGACGAAGUGUGUGGAGAUUGUUUUGCAGGGUAUUUCAAGACUUCGAGACUCCAUAUCGUGUCUUAAGUCAUAGAGUUUGUAUUAGGUUGUGACACGUAUUUUUGUUUUUAUUGGAUCGAUCAUGCAGAAGAUUAUUGUUUGGUGAUUGCAGUAAUCUUCUUAUUUUAUUUUUUGGAUGAGAAGUGUAAUAUUCUUGUAUUUUGUCACGAAAUCGCCAAAGGGGGAGAUUGUUAAGGAUUUUAUUAAGUUGGCGAUUUUCGUGGAGUUUUGGUCGGAGUCUCGAAGGUUCAGAAGACGAAGGUUGAAGAAAGAAUUGGAGUUUGACAAUCAAAGACUCUUGGGAUCUCAGGUAUGAUUAUGAAUAAUUUGUGGUGAGUUUUUAUUGUUAAAAGGUAUUUAGAAGACUAAGUUUCUAUUCCUAUCAAACUAAAGUUUUCAAAAUUUCUCAGGGGUCAGGGACCGGUCCUUGAUCAGAGGGACCGGACCCAUCAAGCUUCUCUGCGUAGAAGUUUUGGGAGACCGGUCUCUGAUCUUGAGGACCGGUUCCCGUACGAGGUUUUACUUGUUGCGCAGGGAGAGACCGGUCUCUAAAUUAAGGACCGGUCCCCGUACGCUUGUUUUCACAGCUACGCAGCGAAGGACCGGACCUCACCUUGGAGGACCGGUCCCCCAAGGACCGGUCUCCUCGGGAGGACCGAACCCUGAGACCGUCGUCAGUUUUUAAUAUUGAAUUUUUGGAAUCCUAGUCUAUCUAGAAGUCUUCUAAACCUAUAAAUAUGAUAUGAGGAUCUUCAUAUAAUGAGAGUUGAGAAAAAUAACCUUUUAGAAACCCUAACGGCUUGAUUCGAAGUUUCGAUCUAUGUUUUAAACAUCAAGCUUUAGAUUACCGAUUUGAUUCUUUGUUUUUGAUUAAAAACUUCUUUAAGGAUCGAAUUGGUGAUGUUAUAAUUAGGGUUUCUCCUCAUAUUAUAUGUGCUUUCAAAGAUCUUAAAUCACCACAAAUUGUUAAAUCCCUACGAGCUUCGGAUGGAGCGUUAACGUGUGGAUCUCGCGUGAAGACCGUGGAUUCGGUGGGCGUUUCGUGGAAUCGAGGAGUGUGCGGCUACAAGGAGUUGCAGUGUGAUCGGUUGGAGGAUUCCAAGCGAUCGAGGACUGGCAAAGACAAUCUACAACGAGGAUUCGGUAUUUUGAGUCUUGUAUUUUUGAUAAAUCACUUGUACUCAUGUUUUCUUAGUGGAUUUCUUUGUGUGAUCGGUCCCGUGGGUUUUUCUCUCUGAUUUGGAGUUUUCCUACGUUAAUUCUCGGUGUGCUAAUUUUAUUUUCCGCAUUUACAUUAUAUUCGCAUCGAGUUUAGUGUUUUUUUUUUUUCGUUUGCACCUAUUCACCCCCCUCUAGGUGUUUUCACCUUUUAGAUCCUCAGGAUCCAUAUCUGUCAGUUCGUGGUGUUCAUCGACGACAUUUUGGUUUAUUCCCGAAGUGAUGCGGAUCACGAGGAACAUUUGAGACUUGUACUUCAGAUACUUUCGGAAAAGGAGCUUUAUGUCAAGCUGAAAAAGUGUGAAUUUUGGCUUCGAGAGGUAGCCUUCCUUGGACAUUUGAUUUCGGUAUCGGGUAUUGCCGUGGAUCCUACGAAGAUUGAGGCUAUCAAGGAUUGGCCGAGACCGACGAGCGUCACGGAAAUACGGAGUUUUCUUCGAUAUGGUUACUUAGGUGCUUGUCUGCGACCACGAAUGACGCACCUCGCACGGUUUAUCUUAUUUUCAAUUUCCCGUGGGGUAGUAUUCAUGAUUCAGAUAAAUAUUUGAAUAUGUAUGGGAAUCAGGUAUUGUGGAUUCAUGGCUUCCAAUAAACGCAAGCGUCUAUUGUUAAUUACUCCUUCAAAGUGUUAGGGCACCUUCAAUUAAGAGACCUCUGUAAUACUGAAAUAGACUGAAAUUGAAUAAAAGAUGGAUUUUAUAACAUAAUCCAUUGUAUAGUUACAUGGCUUAACCAGGGGCAUACCCCCAGUGUAUAUGAAUGAACGACAUGAAUAUGACGGUUGAUUGAAUUUGAUUCUGAACCAAAGUAUAUGAUCAGAUUGAUUUGAUUGGGCUCUAUAUGUUUCAGUGUUCAACAAUAUUGUUCAUCCUAAGAUGAAAGGUUGAUUAAAUUCCAUAUAUAUAUUAAGAUUUAAUCAGAUUUNUGGUUUGUAGACGCCUUGUGUAUACUUGAGUGGUGGUGUACACGGCGGGUCUGUGCACGCGACCGGAUAUGCUUCCGCUGGUACCCGGGCGUGACAACAAGCUUCUAGAUAUAACUACUAGAAGAGAUUAACUCAAAACCCUAGCUUAAACCAUAAGAACUCACCUUGAGUUCAAGUUCUCUCCUCUACUUCUUGCACUAGAGCUAGCUUCACCCUUAAGCAAGCUCCUUCUCAUCCAAAACCCUCUCUUGGCCCAAACCCUAGUGAGAGAAGGAGAGAAAGGGAGAGAGAGUAAAAACCUAAAGAGAGAAUGAGAGGUUUCUCCUUUGUUGUUGGUGUGAGGGAAAUGAGAGAGGAAAACCACUUAGCACCCUCAAAUAACAUUGCCCUAUGCACAAUUGCAUCUAGCCCCCUGUAAUAUACCGAAAAAUUCGGAAAAUAAAUAUUGAACUUUAGUCAAAUUGACCAAAGUGCGAGGAUGGUACACUUCGGAAAGUCCGAAGGUGUUAAAAUGAUCAAAAACGUGUUAUGGGAGGUUUUCGAGAGCUAGGGAAUCAAAAAUCUGCAAACUGCAGCUUUUGAGCUCUCGGGGACCGGUCCCUGGUGGGAGAGACUGGUCCCCGAACACGUAUGAAAUGAGACAGCCGAAAAAUCGGCUAAGUCCUGGAGGAUCAGCUCUCGGGAACCGGUCUCUGUCUGAGAGACCGGUCCCCCGGAGACCGGUCCCACCAGAGAGGGACCGGAUGCAUUGCGCGCGGCAGCUCUGGCUGCGCAGGGUGGACCUUCGGGGACCGGUCCCUGCUCGGGGAGACCGGUCUCNAAAGGUAUCGCGCCUUAGUCAGAGGCCACCACAGUUGGGUUCAUUUUGUAGUAAAGUACCCUAUGAUCAUCUUUUGUACUUGAUGAUGAAUGAUGUAAAGAAAGGAAUGUAAUGUGUAUUUUGAGGUAAAUGUGAUGUAAGAAAGAAAUGAUGAAACGAAAUGUAAGGAAUUCGAAAAAUUACAAGUUGGAUGUAUGUAUAUGAUCUAAAUUGAAUCAUACUACAAGUGAAUGUUUAGUUUUCCUUUCUUUCACUAAUGGCUAUUGCUUACCCUCGUGUAAGCCGUUUGUGUAUGUUUCCGCUAGUGCUUUUCUCUAUGAUGAAAAUAUACAUGUGAUGAGCCUUGGGCGGACAGGGGAAACUCUGUCCGUUCGGCGUCUGUUUGACAUGCUCGGGUCGGGCCAAAUUGGCAUCGGUCCCGGGGCGUGACACCCCCUCACACAACCAGAGCUGACCAUCUUUGAAAAUUUUCGCGUACGGGGUUCGGACCCGACUAGCAGGGUCCGGAUCCCGAGAGCAUUCCCAGCACGAAAUGGCUUGGAAAUUUUCCAGUUUGCUCUCCAAGGUCCAUAAACCCUACAAAUACACUCCAAAACACUCGGAGUGCACAACGGACCACUCUAACUUGUCCCACUCCGCACUUCGGUCAAUUCGACUAAAGUUUGGUAUAUUAUAUUCUCCAUCCCUUAAAACUAGUUUCGUCCGUGAAACUUAAACUCAUACCUUAGCUUACAUGCUCGAAGUGUUAAGGAUUUUGUAUUGGCAAGUUUCGUGAAGUGAGUCGGAGUCUUGAAGGAUCGAAGCGGAUUGAUAAAGAUCGAAGAAACCAAGACUUCGAAGAAAUCAGAAAAUAUCUCACAACGUGAAUCACGAUGCUCAGGUAAAGGUUUAAUUCAUGUUAUGGUGAUUCAUACUUAGUUAUAGGCAUUAGAAUCAUUAAUACAAAGUUUAGUUGAUUAGAAAGUGCUUCGGAACUUUGCGAAACCCGAAACAAUGCAAAACACAAAAAAUUGCAUUGUGUAUCGGUACAGCAAUUGACCCCGUACCGGUAUAGCCAUCAACUUUGGCUUCGUAUUUUCGUUCCGUCAUUGUGUACCGGUGACAGCCUUUCGUGUAUCGGUACACAAUGUAAAAUCGUGAAAACUUUCUAAUCCGACUCCAAUUGAUUCUAAAGUCUAUAAAUAAGCUAUUGGGGUUCUCUAACAUAUGAAGGAUCACGAAAAUACAUGUUUGAGAAACCCUAGAGGCUCGGAUUUUAUCUAAAACCUAUUUUCUACAUAAAGCCUCUUUUAGGUCAAAUCGAGAUAUUGAAUUUUCAUAUCUAUAUGUCGAUUUGAUCUCCGUUUCGCUUGGAGUUUCUUUCCCUGGUUUUCAUCGAUACUCUAAGCAAAGGAUCAUCAUAAUCAUGAUGCUCUUCAUGAACGGCGUCGUGGAUUCGGCGUGAACGAAGGCGGUUCGUGGAUUCGGAUCGUGGGCUCGUGGAUUCGAGUGGCGUCGUGGAUUCGGCGUGAUUGAAGCUUCGUGGAUUCGAAGUGGAGGCGUUCGUGGAUUCGAACGUGAGGGCGUGGACAACCCGGAGGAUUGCGCGAAGAUUCGUAAGAGGUUAAAAGAGGUCCAGUCCGUGGAGUCGGUAAUCACCUUGUAAUCUUUUCUCUUAGUGAAUUAUUUUUUCGCGUGUUGGUCCCGUGGGUUUUUCUCCAAGUUGGAGUUUUCCCACGUAAAUCUCGGUGUGCUUUUUAUUUUCCGCAUUUAUUUUUAUUGCAUCGAGAUUUGUGGUUUUUGGCCGGUACACCUAUUCACCCCCCUCUAGAUGAUAGAUACAAUCUAGAUAGAUCCUUGGGUUCCUCAAAACUUUCAAUUGGUAUCAGAGAGGGAUCUAGAUAAAUUGUUAUCUAAUGGCCGAAGGCGGAAACAUUAAUCGACCUCCGCUCUUCGACGGCACUAAUUAUGCCUAUUGGAAAGUUCGCAUGAGAGCUUUUCUAAUUGCAAUCGAUGAGCGGGUAUGGCAAUCCAUAGAAUUUGGAUGGAAACAUCCCAUUGAAAAAGUCGAUAAUGUUGAAACGCCUAAACAACGAAACAAGUGGACGAAAGAAUAAAACGAGACAUCUUCGUUUAACGGCAAGGGCAUAAACGCUUUAUUUAAUGCAUUGUCUCAAACGGAGUUUACUCGUGUUUCGGCAUGCGAAACGACAAAGGAAAUUUGGGAUACUCUACAAGUUACGCAUGAAAGAACAAGCUUAGUAAAGGUCCAAAAACUGCAAAUGCUAACAAGCAAGUUUGAUUCUAUUUCUAUCGAUGAAAACGAGACCUUUACCGAGUACUAUACACGUCUACAAGACGUUGUGAAUACAUGUGCUAACUUGGGAGAGAAAAUCCCGGAUUCAAAGGUUAUUAGAAAGAUUCUUCGAACUCUUCCGGAACGCUUUCGGGCAAAGGUUGCCGUGAUCGAGACGGUUAAGCAUCCGGACGAAAUGAAAGUCGAAGAAUUAGUAGGUGCUUUGCAAACUUAUGAGAUGACUUUUCCUACUAGUCAAUCUUCUUCCAAGUCUUUCUCUAAAAGCACAGGGGUUGCGUUGAAAUCGACGAAAGAGGAAGACGGAGACUCAAAUUCCGAUGGAGAAAUCUCAAUUGCUGACUUCGAACAUCAAUUGGCGCUUCUAACAAAAAAGUUUCGUCAGAAUUUCCGAAAGAAGAACAAUUCGGACAAGGCUACAUCGUCUAAGCAACAAACGUUUUCUAAAUCUUCUACAUCUAAAGAGAAGAAGCGUGCAAAGGCUUCGAAAGAAAAGAAUGAAUUUGAAGGCGAAAUCCGAUGCGACAAGUGCAAAGGCUACGGUCACAUCGCAACGGAUUGUCCUUCAAAGAAAUCAUAUACUAAGAAGGCAUUGCAAGCAAAGACGUGGGAUGAUACAACUUCAAGUGAUUCAAGCUCAAGUGACGAAGAAAAGAAUGGAAAUCUUGCUUUAUUUGCUACAUCUACCUUGCCUUCGUCUAACAUUGUAUGUUUAUCCUCUAUUGCUACUAAUUCCAAUAUUUCUCUUUCUUCAUAUGAUUCUUCGAGCGACAAUAGCGAAAGUAAGGAGGAAUCAAACGACGACGACAUAGCGGAAGCAUACAAUCAACUUCUUAUUGAAUCAAAGAAGAUGGCCAAACUAAAUAAGAAGUUGAGGCGUCGUUUAUUAAAUCUCGAAGAGGAAAACAAUAACUUGAAGGUCAUGAAUAUAGGCCUCGAGGAGGAAAGGGAAUCAAUUGUGAAAAAUAAUUCGGACCUCCAAGAGAAGCUUGAUGAAGCGGAAUUAACGAUUAACUCUUAUAAAGAUAAAGUUGGAUUUUUGGAGCAACAAUAUGAGGAAUCGCAUACAUCCAACAAAUUAUUGACCGAUCAAGUUCGUCAACUCCAAUCCGAUCUUCAACAAUUUUCUUCGGGAUCAAAGAAGUUGGACAAAAUGCUUGGAUUGGGUCAAACGAGCAAAUUGGGUCUUGGAUAUGAACGGGCAUAUGUUGAGAAGGAUCAAACGGCGACAUCUAAAGUCUCAACAACUUUAAUAGGCAAAGUGUGUCAUCGAUGUGGCAUCAAAGGACACAUCAAAAGGAAUUGCCCAAACAAAGAAAAGAAGAAUCAAUCGGCAACUUCUAAUCUUCAAGUAGCACCCUCUACUACUCGACUUCCCUCACCGAUUUCAAAGGAAAAACAAUUAAGUCGAGCACCUCGAGGGAACCAGUUUUCUAAUGCAAAAGGACAAGUUCAACCAACGCAUCAAGCAACCAAACGACCAAUGGUUGAUCCAAAAUCAAAGCAAGCCAUGCCGAAUGUCAAGAAGCCGAGAGAACACAAAAUCCGACAGGUUUGGAUUCGGAAAGGUGAUAUCUUUCCUUGUUCUUCAUCUUAGUUUGUUUUGAUUGUUUAUGUAAUGCUUUGUUUGGUGCUUGUUGCAUAUUUUUGUUCAUUGCAUUACAUGAUAAUUUUCGUGUGUGAAAGUUGUUUUUAAAAUUGAUUUGAGGGAAGGUGUUUUGGAAUUCAAAAAUUUUUUAGAAAGGAGAUGAUUGAGAAUCAUUUUUUUUGAGGAGAGAAAUUUUUCAAAGUUGUUUAAACGGUAUUUAACUUGAUAAUCAUAUUAAGUUAAAUUCAUAUUAAAUUAUCGUUUUUACUCC